rnacentral:rRNA from 1 species
AAGGCGUAACGAUUUGGGCACUGUCUCAACAACAGACUCGGUGAAAUUGUAAUUCCGGUGAAGAUGCCGGAUACCUGCGACAGGACGGAAAGACCCCAUGGAGCGUUACUGUAGCUUGACAUUGGGUCUUGGUACUACAUGUACAGGAUAGGUGGGAGGCUUUGAAACCAGGACGCCAGUUUUGGCGGAGCCAUCCUUGGGAUACCACCCUUGUAGUACUGGGACUCUAACC